rnacentral:lncRNA from 1 species
UGACAUUCUCCAUGGCUGUAUCUGUCAUAGAUCAUGUGGGUUACAUCUGUCAUCUCGAAUCCCUUCAGACUGCGAGAGCUCCAGAAAUGUGAUCUGUUGGCAAAGCCGUUUGAUGCUCGAUGGCAGCUUCCUUUGGAUGUGUCCUGAAGCUGCGGAGGCCAGGGAGGAUCCCGCUCGUCUCCAGAUGGUUUGGGGCUUGUUACAGAUUGGAGGAAGCCCUGGGGUGAGGGGGAAGGUUGAGUAAUUACUAGUGUCUGGAAUUACACGAACGCCCUGGGGACAGGCUGGAACAGGCAGCUUUGCCUCUCCUAGAUGCCCCACUGCAGAGCCCCGCAUCAACCCUUGGAUCCAAGUCUGCCAGGUUGUAUCUGUUUGCUCGGGAUGCCAUAACAAAGGACCACAGACUGGGGGGUUUAAACAGCAGAAGUUUACUUUCUCACAGUACUGGAGGCUGGAAGUCUGAGGUCAAGGUGCUGGCGGUGUCGGUUUCUCCUGAGCCCUCUCUCUUUUGCCGGGGCUGUUCUGCUUGCUGGAUUGGAAAUGAUUUUAGCCCCUCAUGCCAGGAAGAAAACAUAGGCAGAUUUCUCACCAGCUAAAAAGGAAGGAAAAAUUGUGAAGUGAAAUUUUCUACUGGCUGUGGUUUAUCCAUGUUAAAUUGUAAAGCAUAUAACACAGAUGGAAUCCGGCACAUGCAAAACACUCACAAAACCUAGUUACUACUACUGCUGGCGCUGCGGCUACACGACUACAACUACUACUACAGCCACUACUCUCCUCCUACUGCUACUGCUGCUGCUGCUAGUGUUUCGUAAAGUGGAGCUACAGAAAUCAACAUUUUUUUUCUUAGCUGCACAGUGAAUUCGUUUUUUGGACUCCAGUAUUCUUCCUGAAGGUCUGUUUCAUCCUAGUAUGACUCUCACUUUUUUUUCAAAAUUUUAUUUUAUUUUAUUUUUGAAAUGGAGCCUCACUCUGUUGCCCAGGCUGGAGUGCAGUGGCGUGAUCUCGGCUCACUACAACCUCCGCCUCUGGGUUCAAGAGAUUCUCCUGCCUCGGCCUACUGAGUAGCUGGGAUUACAGGCACGCGCCACCACGCCCAGCUAAUUUUUGUAUUUUCAGAAGAGAUGGGGUUUCACCAUGUUGGCCAGGAGGGUCUCAAUCUCCUGACCUCAUGAUCCGCCUGCCUCGGCUUCCCAAAGUGCUGGGAUUGCAGGCGUGAGCCACCAUGCCUCUACAUUUUAAUUUUUUAAAACUUACCAUCUUUAUCAUUUUUAAGUGUACAGUUAAGUGGUAAUAAAUACAUAUGUAUCUCCUAUCUCAUUUCCUUAUUUUCAUCCCCCAUCCCAUUUCUGGACUCUGGCUAAUAGCAGUCUACUCGGUAUCAUCACGAGAUCCACGUUUUUAGUUUCCACAUAUGAAUGAGAACAUGCGAUAUUUGUCUUUCUGUGCUUGGCUUAUUUCACUUAACAUAAUGGCCUCUGGUUCCAUCCAUGCUGCUGCAAGUGACAGGAUUUCACUCUUUUUAUAGCUGAAUAAUAUUCCAUUGUGUAAAUAUAACACAUUUCCUUUAUUCAUCUGUUGAUGGGUACUUACGUUGAUUCUAUAUUUUGAAUAGUGCUGCAGUAAACAUGGGAGGGAGAUAUCUCUUUAAUAUACUGAUUUCCUUUCUUUUGAGUAUAUACCCAGCAGUGAAAUUGCUAGACCAAAUGGUAGUUCUAUUUUUAGUUUUUUUGCAGAACCUCCAUACUGUUCUAAUUUACAUUCCCACCAACAGCGUAUGAGGAUUCCCCUUUCUCCACAUCUUCGCCAGAUCUGUUAUCGCCUGCCUUUAUUUACUUAUUUUUAUUUUUAAUUCUUGUGGGUACGUAGUAGGUAUAUAUGGGAUACAUUAGCUGUUUUGAUAUAGACAUGCAAUCUGUAAUAAUCAUAUCAUGGAAAAUGGGGUAUCCGUCCCCUCAAGCAUUUAUUCUUUGUGUUACCAACAAUUCAAUUAUACUCUUUCAGUUAUUUUGAAAUGUAUAAUUAAAUUAUUAUUGAUGUAGUCUCCCUGUUGUGCCGUCAUUAAUUCUAAGACUUAUUCAUUAAUUCUAUUUUUUGUACCCAUUGCCUGCCUUUUUGAUACAAGCCAUUUUAACUGGGGUGCAAUGAUAUCUCAUUGUGGUUUUGAUUUGCACUUCUCUGAUGAUUAGUGAUAUUGAGCAUUUUUUCUUAUACCUGUUAGCCAUGUGUAUGUCUGUUUUUGAGAAAUGUCUGUUCAAAUCUUUUGCC